rnacentral:rRNA from 1 species
GUGGCGAACGGGUGAGUAACACGUAGAUAAUCUGCCUUUCAGACGGGGACAACUCAGGGAAACUUGUGCUAAUACCCGAUGAGACCACAAGAAGGGAUUUUAGUGGCCAAAGGCGGGCGAAAGCUCGUGCUGAAAGAUGAGUCUGCGUCCUAUCAGCUAGUUGGUGGGGUAAAUGCCUACCAAGGCUAAGACGGGUAGCCGGCCUGAGAGGGUGAACGGCCACACUGGGACUGAGACACGGCCCAGACUCCUACGGGAGGCAGCAGUGAGGAAUUUUCCGCAAUGGGCGCAAGCCUGACGGAGCGACGCCGCGUGAGGGAUGACAGCUUUCGGGUUGUAAACCUCUUUUAUUAAGGAAAAAGAUCUAUAUGCUAAUAUCAUGUAGAUUUGAUGGUACUUAUUGAAUAAGCCCCGGCUAACUACGUGCCAGCAGCCGCGGUAAUACGUAGGGGGCGAGCGUUGUCCAGAGUUACUGGGCGUAAAGAGCGUGUAGGCGGUUGAAAAAGUCAGGUGUGAAAUUCUUCG